GGGUAUGAGGGUGAUCUAGCUGCAACAUCUGUCACCCCACUGAUUGCUGGGGUUGAUUUGUCUGAUCUGGAUGGAUAGGCGAGUGUCCUCUUCAUCACUGCUCCAUGUGAGGUCUAAGUCUUCCCUGAUUAGAGACGGCUGGUCUUUGGUCAAGAGUAUACUGCACUCCCCCAGAAGAACCUCCAGACAAGCUCUCGGGUCCAAAAUUGAAUGUUGAAAAACUUGGUUGAAUCUUUUCUUUCAUUUGUAAGGGUAGCACGUCUUGGUUCACUUU
ensembl:misc_RNA 7SK 7SK RNA